rnacentral:misc_RNA from 1 species
UGUGGGGUGCAUGUAGGCAUGAUCCUAGUGAUGCAAUACGUGAUAGCGUGUGAGUGGUAUUUGGUUUGUGUGGUUGGCGGGCUCUCUGCUUGUGCAUUGAACCGUUCACUAGCAUACCUCUUCAUUGUUUGCUCCAAGUGCAUCACGUGCCUUGGGUGACGUGUGGUCCCUAUGUUGUAUUCCUACUGACGGUAUUGAUUCAUCCCCAUAAAGGAGUGAUUUCCGCUCUACAUCCAUAGAAGGAGGUCGAGCGGACAUAGAAACUUGGUUCGUUAUCCACCCGUCGAGCGAAAACAAGCACGAUAGGACAGGAUUACGAUCCCAAGUUGGGCCCUUGGAUGCAGAACGUUGUGUGGGUGUUGAUGUUAAAUCGUUGCACACCCAAAGCGUUGUACGCUAACGAUGGAUGACAUUCGAGUGCGAGAUGACCCUUUCUUGAUUGAAAAGGGCUCA